UACGAAGGGGGCUAGCGUUGUUCGGAAUCACUGGGCGUAAAGCGCACGUAGGCGGAUCUUUAAGUCAGGGGUGAAAUCCCGAGGCUCAACCUCGGAACUGCCUUUGAUACUGGGGAUCUCGAGUCCGGGAGAGGUGAGUGGAACUGCGAGUGUAGAGGUGAAAUUCGUAGAUAUUCGCAAGAACACCAGUGGCGAAGGCGGCCCACUGGCCCGGAACUGACGCUGAGGUGCGAAAGCGUGGGGAGCAAACAGG
rnacentral:rRNA from 1 species